rnacentral:piRNA from 1 species
UCCUUGUGCUAGGAUGUCCCAUGGAUAUA